rnacentral:lncRNA from 1 species
GAAGAGCUAGAAGUGUUUUCCUUAUUUGAUAGAUAGAAAUUAUAGGUGCUAUGAACAGUGAUGUUAUGAGUAACUCUUGUUUACUAAAUAGCCAGGAUUACAAUGAUGCAAGGUUUACAAAUUGCUAGCCCCACAGCUCAGUUUCCUGUUCUUCAAAGCCUUCUUAAUCAUUGUUUUUCCCUCAGUGAGGAAACUCUUGUGUUUCUACCCAGUGUUCCAGCUGACUGCUAAAGGGAUGGCUUGUCAUGUUCUACUAGUCAUCUCUGUUUCAUUAUUAUGGAUUCUAAGGCUGUGUGUGUGUGUGUGUGUGUGUGUAUCUCUAGAGAAAAUGAGCCUUUGUAUUAACAUUCUCUUCUUUUGCAUCAGAUGUCACAUUAAACAGUCUUCUUUCCCCUAUUAGAUAAAAUAGUGAAUAGAUCCCAGAAAAUUAGGGAGGCACAGCUGUUGAAGUCAUGGCAGAAGCAAUGCUUACAUAUUUCGCUAAUAUGUGGGUCUCAUGCUUCUAGAUUCAUUCUCUGUAGAUUCAGCAUUUUGCUAUGAAAGGCUUUUUUCUGACAGAUGGCAUGCUGACUUUUUGCAAUAUACACAACCCACCUUGCCACACAUCACAUCUCUAUGCUGAUAAACAGAGCUGAUGGGAAGUGUUAGUGUUGACAGCAAUUCAAUGAAGCUAUUUCCAUGUCUGUGAUUUGCUGAGUCUACAUGAUUUCUUAAAAAAAAAAAAAAACCUUAAAAUUGAUAAACAUGCCUUAGAGUCAGUAUGUUGUGCUGAAUAGACAUUGCAUUUUAAUAUAGCUAAAUGCUAGAUUCUGUUCUCCUCUCUGAGAAUGUAUUUCAGACUGGAUAGCUUGGAUCUUGUUCUGAGAGGAAUGCUAUAAAUCAGAAGAAAGUGAUGUUGAGCUGAUAAGCCCUAAGGUAGAUUUAAGUCCCUCAAAACUUCAUAGUGGAAUUGUGUGCAUCCAGGGUAAGAUCAAGUGAUUUACACUAAUAUGUUAAACUUAAUGUUCUACUAAAAUAGUAUGCUUUGUCUUCCUUGGACUGAUCUGGUCAGAUCUAAUAGCUUUUCACUCCUCAUGAUGAUUCUAUUACAUAUUACUUCAUUCCACUUGUGUUCUUCAAGACUCACUCUAGAUUUUUUAUAUGGUAAAUUACAGCCAGAUGUGAUUUUAAAUAUCCUGUAAUCUUUCAUAUACUUGAAAUGCUGUCAGAAAGUAAUGCCAAUAUGGAAGGAUUAUAAAUACUAGAAUAUGUGUUCAUGAGAUUUGAUUUAUGAUCCUAACAUUUAAAAUCUAUACAAACAAUAUUCAAAUAUUUUCAUAUUUUAAAACAUUUUGCUAGUGUAUGGAGGAAUGCAGAAAUUAGUUUCAUGUUUAGGGUCAACUUAUGAUGAGGCUGUUGUCAUUAAGUUUAUUAUUUUGAAGAGUUUUGGGCCCACUUUGUCUUUUAUAAGUUCAUACUUAUAAUUUAUUCUUUCUUGCAAAAAUUUUUGGAAAGAACUCCUAGGGAAUGAAAUAUUUGGUUGGUAGUGUAAAAUAAAGAAUAUACAAGAUUUGAAGUGUUGUAUUCUGAGACUUUUCCUCUGGGUGCCUAUAGCAUGAUGCCUUCCUGGUUUGGCUACCACAAUGUAAUUGCAAAUGACAGCAUUGUUUCUGGAGAAAAGACAGAUAAUUUGUGAUAGUUGAUGCCAUGUAUGGAUCCUCACACAAUUGUGCAACACAUUAUGCACCUUCAAUAUAUAUGUAUAUAUACAGGUAUGCAUGUAUUUAUAUGUAAACAUUUGUGUGUAUACAUACAAACAGGCAAACAUAGACACACACACACACACAGUGACCUGAUAUCUUACCUCUAAAGAGUUAAGAAUAUAAUAUGUAAUUCAAUCAAUGUAACCAACAUAUUUCAAAAUAACUCAAGAUCUAUAUAGAAUUUCAUAUUUUCAUGAUUCCAUGAAAGGAAAGAUGUAAUCUCAAAGUAUCUGACAGCCUUAUAAGCUAUCUUCCCACACUCAACCUUCCCACACUGAGGUUUUUAUUCUCAUCUUGCUUCUAAGCUUCGGUAAUAAUUUUUUCUUGUAAAACUUGUCUCUCUCUCUCUCUCUCUCUCUCUCUCUCUCUCUCUCUCACACACACACACACACACACACACACAAAACACUGUCAAGCUUUGCUUUGCAUUUCUACUGUGCACAGAGAUUGCAUAAUAUUGGGCUUAAACUGAGCCCUCCUUCCUUUGUGAAAAAAGAAGAUAAAUUCCCAUCUCCAGUCUAGAAAAGCACUGUGCUAACAAAGCCUGGGAAACCCAAAUGCUUUUAAGUAAAAUCAUUACAUGAAUUUUAUUUACAAGUCCUUAUUGAGUCUGUUUAUUCUGAAAGGUGGUAGAUAAUUAGAGCUUAAAUGACAACAGCAACAACAAAAUCUCAUAUUGUGGAUACCAAAGGUCCAGGGCAAUGAUGUUCUUUUGCAGUAUCUUGCCAAAUGGUUUAAAUCGUUUGUGAUCUUUAGAUGAGUGCUUGAAUAAAUGUAGGCAUUUGAUAAACAUUGAGCACUUGAGAAAUCUUUCAGUUAGUUCAGAUAACUAUAGCAAAAUGUCAUGAUACAGAUAGCUUAUAAACACUUUAAGUUUGGUUUUUAUAGUUUCCCAGAAGCCCUAAAAUUCAGUAUUAAAUUAUCAGUAGACUUUCUGUAUGAUGAAGGCUUACAUAAUUAUUUAUAGAUGGUGCAUGGUGGAAGGGGAAGAAGGUCCUUUGAACCUCUAUCAUAAAAAUACCCAAAUCUUCAAGGCCUAAUCACCAUUCUCAGGGCCCACCUCUUAGUCAUAUUUGUGAUUAACUUUUAACAUCUUUGUGCAUAGACUACAUAAACAUUCAUACCAUAGCAUCUAGGAU